AUUCUGUUAACUGAUGAAAUGGCUGCAAAAGUUGCGACCCGCUCUGUGAUGACGCAGUACUGGCAGCAGCACGCGUCCGACUCGGCCACCGUCGUCGAGAUGAUGCUGGACCAUGACGCCGAGAAACUGCACGAGGAGGAGAUGCCAGAAAUUCUCUCCUAUCUGCCGGACUACACAGGCAUGCGCAUCCUCGAACUCGGGGCCGGCAUUGGGCGUUUUACGAGCAUGUUUGCGACAAAGGCAAAGAGCGUAACAGCGGUCGACUUUAUGGAAGAGUUUAUCGAAAAAAACAAAGAAACAAACGAACACCACGACCACGUGGACUUUCACGUCGCUGAUGUCACACACCUGGAAAAAGAACCACACAGCUACGAUCUCGUGUUUACCAACUGGCUACUGAUGUACCUCAGCGACAAGGAGGUGCAGGAGCUCGUGAAGAAGAUACUGACGUGGCUUGAUGACGAUGGCUACUUCUUCAUCCGAGAAUCAUGUCACCACUCGUCGGGGAACAAACUUAGCAAAGACAAUCCGACCCACUACCGUGAUCCGGUGUGGUAUGAAGCGAUGUUCAAUGCCACCACUGCCGACUGUGACGGCAAACACUGCUAUGGCUUUGAUCUCGUCCUGUCGCGCUCUGUAGACAUAUAUAUCAAGAAUAAAAACAACGUCAAUCAAGUGAUCUGGCUGAUGCAGAAGGUAAAGCGAGAGACGACGACGAGCGGGUACAAAACGUUCCAGGAGUUUCUUGACAACCAGCAGUAUUCCUUGACCGGAAUUCUCAGAUACGAACAGAUAUUCGGCAAGACGUUUAUCAGCACCGGAGGACUGGAAACAACAAAGAAAUUUGUCAAGCAGCUCAAGCUGAAAAAAGGAGAUGUUGUACUGGAUGUCGGAUGCGGUAUUGGUGGCAGUGCUUUCUACAUGGCAAAGGAACAUGGUGCCAAGGUGGUGGGAGUCGACCUCUCGUCCAACAUGAUAAACGUUGGAAUACAGCGAGCGAAGGAACUGGGCGUGUCCUUCGACCAAGUGUCCUUCGAGAUAGCAGACGCCACAAAGCGCCAAUACCCUCCGGGGUCGUUUGACGUCAUCUACAGCAGGGACACGAUCCUUCACAUUCCAGACAAACUGUCUCUCUUUAAGAACUUCUAUAAAUGGUUAAAGCCCGGUGGGAAGGUCCUCAUAUCCGACUACUGUUGCAGUGACGGGGAACACUCGGACAUUUUCAAGCAGUUUUGGAGGCAGCUGGAUUCAGCAACGUUAGAGCAGAAGAUAAAACCGAUUUGUUUGUGAGUGUGUUGAAAGGGGAACUCUCAAGAACAGAAAUGAUGGAAAAAGAUUUUGUUGCACAAUUCAGUCAAGAAGACUAUGAUGAUAUUGUGAACGGCUGGAAGUCCAAUUUGUACAGAGUUGGACUUGGAGAUCAGAAGUGGGGGCUUUUCUACGCCGAGAAAGUGUAGAUCUGAAAUUGCUGGCAUUCUUCAUCCUCUACUGCUCGUGACAUGACGGUUUUGAUUUAUUGUGAUACGUUAAUAUCUGGCUUCUUUGCUUGGUUAUAAAACAACAGAACAGUGUUUAAAAUCUGUGGCAGUCUUCAAACCUUCACUGCUUUUGACAAGAUGGUUUUGAUUUAUUGUGAUACGUUAAUAUUUGACUCCUUUGCUUGAUUACAAACCAACAGAACAGUGUUUAAAAUCUGUGGCAUUCUUCAUCCGCUACUGCUUUUGACAUGACGGUUUUGGUUUCUUACAAUUAAACAAUGUUUGUAGAUACUCUGUUGGGCCUAAUUAACCUAAAAUAAGGGGGGAUGUGGUGUGAUGAAAAGGAAAUCGGGCAAUAAUACAGUUUCUUCUUCAACUACAAGACCACAAGAAGAGCUCUUUAAAAGUUAAAUGGCAUUUUUUAUGUGUUUUAGGGAAGGGGGGAAAUGGCUUAUGCUUCCUGCACCCUCCAAUGUCCGAACCUGUCUGAUUAAAAUUAGCUCUACUGGGUCUAGCCAGUAGAUCUAACAGCAUUACGUGGACUCCCAUGCCCAGGUGACAUUUCAUCUAUAAAUAACAAUUUAAAUAUCGACCAAUUACACUUCGCCUUUUAUAGCGUUAUUCGAGAGGAUACAAAUUCUAAAAAUAUCGGGCGAGACUAUUUAUGCAAUAGACGAACUUGUUUGUCUAUUUAAACAUCGAAAAAACAGGGGGAAAAGUGCAGUAAUAAACUUUGGAUUGUAUACUAGUAUAAACAGAUUUUAUGGCUAUACCAUCACGUUGUUUUUUUUCGUCUUGAAACGAAUUUUAUAUAAAAUUUUAUAUU
rnacentral:misc_RNA from 1 species